AACGAACGCUGGCGGCAGGCUUAACACAUGCAAGUCGAGCGCCCCGCAAGGGAAGCGGCAGACGGGUGAGUAACGCGUGGGAAUCUACCCAUCUCUACGGAAUAACGUAUGGAAACGUGCGCUAAUACCGUAUACGUCCUUCGGGAGAAAGAUUUAUCGGAGAUGGAUGAGCCCGCGUUGGAUUAGCUAGUUGGUGGGGUAAAGGCCUACCAAGGCGACGAUCCAUAGCUGGUCUGAGAGGAUGAUCAGCCACACUGGGACUGAGACACGGCCCAGACUCCUACGGGAGGCAGCAGUGGGGAAUAUUGGACAGUGGGCGCAAGCCUGAUCCAGCCAUGCCGCGUGAGUGAUGAAGGCCCUAGGGUUGUAAAGCUCUUUCACCGGUGAAGAUAAUGACGGUAACCGGAGAAGAAGCCCCGGCUAACUUCGUGCCAGCCGCCGCCGUAACAC
rnacentral:rRNA from 1 species